rnacentral:tRNA from 1 species
AGUAAUUUAGGUUAGGUUGGACUGUUUGUUUUCAAAAUAAAAGGGGGCUUUGGUGUCAGUUACUG